GAUCUCCAUUUAGUCGUAUUAGUCAAAGAAAUAAUUUCGAGGAGUUAACUUUGAAUUGUGAACAAGAAGAAAAUUUUUCAUCAUGCCAAAAAAAAACGAUAAUCGCAGAAGCCGCAGCGCCACUCGCAGCACGAGCCGCAGUUCCAGCGAUAGUAGUUCUUCACGGUCAAGUCAUCGCAGUUCGUCGGGCAGCAGCGAUGAGGG